rnacentral:rRNA from 1 species
CACGUAGGGCGCAAGCGUUUGUCCGGAAUUAUUGGGCGUAAAGAGCUCGUAGGCGGUCUGUUGCGUCCGCUGUGAAAACUCGGGGCUUAACCCCGAGCCUGCAGUGGAUACGGGCAGACUAGAGGUAGGUAGGGGAGAAUGGAAUUCCCGGUGUAGCGGUGAAAUGCGCAGAUAUCGGGAGGAACACCAGUGGCGAAGGCGGCUUUCUGGCCCGUUCUUGACGCUGAGGCGCGAAAGCUAGGGUAGCAAACGGG